GCCAGCCUAGUCUAGUGGUUUGAGUGCUGGACUAGGACUCUAGAGACCAGGUUUCGAAUCCUGGCUCGGCC